rnacentral:snRNA from 15 species
AUACCAUCGCCCAAGAUCUGGUUGCCGCUACGAACAUGCUGUAGUAUCUGUUCUAUCAGUUUAAUAUCUGAUAUGUGGGUCAUCAACCCACUAUGAUAUUAAAUUAAUUUUUUAUGGGGGAGGGUUCACCGUAGUGGCUUGCCACUGGGAUCCUCACGUGUCGCCCAUGCGUUGCAUUGCUAAAGCCUUCUUCUCCAAUUCAUUC